rnacentral:rRNA from 1 species
CCUACGGGCGGCACCAGUGGGGAAUAUUGCACAAUGGGCGCAAGCCUGAUGCAGCCAUGCCGCGUGUAUGAAGAAGGCCUUCGGGUUGUAAAGUACUUUCAGUCGGGAGGAAGGUGGUGAGCUUAAUACGCUCAUCAAUUGCCGUUACCGACAGAAGAAGCACCGGCUAACUCCGAGCCAGCAGCUGCGGUAAUACGGAGGGUGCAAGCGUUAAUCGGAAUUACUGGGCGUAAAGCGCACGCAGGCGGUUGAUUGAGUCAGAUGUGGAAUCCCCGGGCUUAACCCGGGAAUUGCAUCUGAUACUGGUCAGCUAGAGUCUUGUAGAGGGGGGUAGAAUUCCAGGUGUAGCGGUGAAAUGCGUAGAGAUCUGGAGGAAUACCGGUGGCGAAGGCGGCCCCCUGGACAAAGACUGACGCUCAGGUGCGAAAGCGUGGGGAGCAAACAGGAUUAGAUACCCCAGUAGUC